UACGGAGGGGGCUAGCGUUGUUCGGAAUUACUGGGCGUAAAGCGCACGUAGGCGGCUUUGUAAGCUAGAGGUGAAAGCCCAGGGCUCAACCCUGGAAUUGCCUUUAAGACUGCAUCGCUUGAACAUCGGAGAGGUAAGUGGAAUUCCGAGUGUAGAGGUGAAAUUCGUAGAUAUUCGGAAGAACACCAGUGGCGAAGGCGACUUACUGGACGAUUGUUGACGCUGAGGUGCGAAAGCGUGGGGAGCAAACAGG
rnacentral:rRNA from 1 species